CGCAGCUGAUGCAGCGACGCCGCGUGGUGAUGAAGGCCUUCGGGUUGUAAAGCUCUUUCGGCCGGGACGAAAAGGGCCGGGCCAAUACCCCGGGGGGCUGACCGGUCCCUGCCAAGAAGCCCCCGGUAACUUCGGGGCCGCAGCCCGUGUAAAAUUUAAGGGGGUAACCUUUAUUCGAAUUUUUUGGCCUAAAGGGGGCGGAAGCCGCCUUCUUAACCCGAAGUGAAAACCCCCGGCUUAACCUGGGAAUUGCCUUUGAAAAUGGUGGGAUUUAAUGCGGGAAAGGGAAA
rnacentral:rRNA from 1 species